GAAUGCUGACAUAAGUAACGAUAAAGCGGGUGAAAAGCCCGCUCGCCGGAAGACCAAGGGUUCCUGUCCAACGUUAAUCGGGGCAGGGUGAGUCGACCCCUAAGGCGAGGCCGAAAGGCGUAGUCGAUGGGAAACAGGUUAAUAUUCCUGUACUUGGUGUUACUGCGAAGGGGGGACGGAGAAGGCUAUGUUGGCCGGGCGACGGUUGUCCCGGUUUAAGCGUGUAGGCUGGUUUUCCAGGCAAAUCCGGAAAAUCAAGGCUGAGGCGUGAUGACGAGGCACUACGGUGCUGAAGCGACAAAUGCCCUGCUUCCAGGAAAAGCCUCUAAGCAUCAGGUAACAUCAAAUCGUACCCCAAACCGACACAGGUGGUCAGGUAGAGAAUACCAAGGCGCUUGAGAGAACUCGGGUGAAGGAACUAGGCAAAAUGGUGCCGUAACUUCGGGAGAAGGCACGCUGAUAUGUAGGUGAAGCGACUUGCUCGUGGAGCUGAAAUCAGUCGAAGAUACCAGCUGGCUGCAACUGUUUAUUAAAAACACAGCACUGUGCAAACACGAAAGUGGACGUAUACGGUGUGACGCCUGCCCGGUGCCGGAAGGUUAAUUGAUGGGGUUAGCGGUAACGCGAAGCUCUUGAUCGAAGCCCCGGUAAACGGCGGCCGUAACUAUAACGGUCCUAAGGUAGCGAAAUUCCUUGUCGGGUAAGUUCCGACCUGCACGAAUGGCGUAAUGAUGGCCAGGCUGUCUCCACCCGAGACUCAGUGAAAUUGAACUCGCUGUGAAGAUGCAGUGUACCCGCGGCAAGACGGAAAGACCCCGUGAACCUUUACUAUAGCUUGACACUGAACAUUGAGCCUUGAUGUGUAGGAUAGGUGGGAGGCUUUGAAGUGUGGACGCCAGUCUGCAUGGAGCCGACCUUGAAAUACCACCCUUUAAUGUUUGAUGUUCUAACGUGGGCCCCUUACCGGGGUUGCGGACAGUGUCUGGUGGGUAGUUUGACUGGGGCGGUCUCCUCCUAAAGAGUAACGGAGGAGCACGAAGGUUGGCUAAUCCUGGUCGGACAUCAGGAGGUUAGUGCAAUGGCAUAAGCCAGCUUGACUGCGAGCGUGACGGCGCGAGCAGGUGCGAAAGCAGGUCAUAGUGAUCCGGUGGUUCUGAAUGGAAGGGCCAUCGCUCAACGGAUAAAAGGUACUCCGGGGAUAACAGGCUGAUACCGCCCAAGAGUUCAUAUCGACGGCGGUGUUUGGCACCUCGAUGUCGGCUCAUCACAUCCUGGGGCUGAAGUAGGUCCCAAGGGUAUGGCUGUUCGCCAUUUAAAGUGGUACGCGAGCUGGGUUUAGAACGUCGUGAGACAGUUCGGUCCCUAUCUGCCGUGGGCGCUGGAGAACUGAGGGGGGCUGCUCCUAGUACGAGAGGACCGGAGUGGACGCAUCACUGGUGUUCGGGUUGUCAUGCCAAUGGCACUGCCCGGUAGCUAAAUGCGGAAGAGAUAAGUGCUGAAAGCAUCUAAGCACGAAACUUGCCCCGAGAUGAGUUCUCCCUGACUCCUUGAGAGUCCUGAAGGAACGUUGAAGACGACGACGUUGAUAGGCCGGGUGUGUAAGCGCAGCGAUGCGUUGAGCUAACCGGUACUAAUGAACCG
rnacentral:rRNA from 1 species